rnacentral:rRNA from 1 species
GCUCAAAUUUGAAAUCUGGCGUCUUUCAGGCGUCCGAGUUGUAAUCUAUAGAAGCGUUUUCUGUGCCGGACCGUGUCCAAGUCCCUUGGAACAGGGUAUCAAAGAGGGUGACAAUCCCGUACUUGACACGACAACCGGUGCUCUGUGAUACGUUCUCUACGAGUCGAGUUGUUUGGGAAUGCAGCUCAAAAUGGGUGGUAAAUUCCAUCUAAAGCUAAAUAUUGGCGAGAGACCGAUAGCGAACAAGUACCGUGAGGGAAAGAUGAAAAGCACUUUGGAAAGAGAGUUAAACAGUACGUGAAAUUGUUGAAAGGGAAACGAUUGAAGUCAGUCGUGUCUAUUGGUUUCAGCCGGUUCUGCCGGUGUAUUACCUUUAGACGGGUCAACAUCAGUUUUGGACGGUGGAAAAAGGCAAGGAGAAUGUGGCACCUUCGGGUGUGUUAUAGCUCUUUGUUGCAUACACUGUUUGAGACUGAGGACUGCAGCUCGCCUUUAUGGCCGGGGUUCGCCCACGUUACGAGCUUAGGAUG